CAUUUGUGUGAACCAUAAAGAGAGGGCUAUAAGACAAUGCUCAGAUGUUACCCGACACCCACAUGUCUAUAUAAAAUGGGUAGGUUAGACUCGGACCUCUGCCAGAAGCAAUGCGGACACAGUGGAACAUAUAUACACCUCUGGUGGCAAUGUCCCAAACUGACCCCAUUAUGGGUAGAAGUCGCACCCCUCACACACACACAAGCACAGAACACCUCACACAGACAGAG